GCGAGCGAGCGAGCGUCGGCAGGUGAAGCGUCGCCUGUCAACAGCGCCGACGACCAGGAAGUGCGAGCGAGGCGGCAGGUGCCGAGCUCCAACGGCGGCCCCCGCAUGUGGUUCGACUGGUUGGGGGGGGACGGACGACAACCGUUUCCCUGGAGAAAAAGGACAAAAGCGCAACGGGCCUGCUGGAGGCUCAUUUCACAAUUGGAGGACUUUUGCCACCCCCGUCAAUUUGCAAACACUCCAAAAAAAGCGACUCUUUCUUUUUCUUUUUCUCCUGAUCACUUCCAGAAUAGAACUGAGAACUACGUUUGCAAUCAGCUUUGGAUAUGUCUUCUUUGGACUUGUAAUACAGACAUCUUUUCAGAAGUAAUAAUUCUGCUCCAAAGUCGUUUCUCAACUUCCAUGCAAACUUCUCACUCGUCACCUUUUAGCCACAGAGAGGAAGAGAGAAAAAAAAAAGUGAGGUACAUGACUUGACUUUUCAGAAAUUUGGAGCAAGCGCAACGUGUGUGUGCCCAGCCAUCAUCUGAGCCACUUAUCCUCACAAGCAACCUAUCCCAGCGACCUUCAGGCAGGACCCUCAACUCCAAACAGGGAAAAGGACACAUUAUUCUACGAGGUUCACGGAAAUUGAGCUCGAUGGAUCAAAUCAUUAUUUAUGAGGAUAAGAUGUGAAAAUAACAGGGGGUAUUCAGUUGGAUGUUACGGCAGUCAAUCAUGGCAAAGUCGAUUCCUUUUCAGGAAAAAAAAAACCCCCACAAAACAAUCCCCUUCUAUCAAAAAAAAAACACACAAAAAAAAAAAAAACCCGACCAAAACUAAAAUGUGUGCACCGCGUCUUGAACAACAAACAAACUUUUUCUUCACAGUUGGUGUGUUUACGUGUUUUUUUUUUUUGGAGCAAAAAACAAAUCCGAGAUGUUGCGGUCCAGUGGCGGAAUGACCCUCGAGCCGUCGCCCCCGCAGGGCCGCAGGCGGGGUCGAGUCCUCUGAGCCGCCGUCGUGUCGGCGUCGUCGCCCUCGGCCGCUCGGCCGUGUCGGCGCAAAGCGGCUUCCCUCCUUCCUUCUCGCUCCUUUUUGGCACCCCGCGAGGUCACGUCGGCGCGUUCGCCAGCUUCCGCGCCAAAGUUGACAUUUUCUUUCAUUUGCGGGCAACCAAGACAAAUCCCAAAAGUUGUUUGGCAGCAGCAAGUCGACUUUGCGUCAAGUCAACUUAACUGUUGUUCUCGGAGGAAGGGAGGGGCCGGAAGUCGGGGGCAGGGGCCAGGGCGGCCUGGGGCCAGGUGAGUCAAGAUGAAGGCCAGGACUCGGGUGACCAGUUUUACCCGGAGACGCCCGCGGCCGCUCCGGACACGCCGCAGCGAGCCCGGCGUGUCCCGGGGCGAGGAAAGAGAGGCGAGGCCGCCAUCGAUCUUCUCUUCUUCACGUCGUCACGUCGGCCAUUGCUCUCUGCCCUCGCUUUUAUCGGAUCCAUCUCCAUCACCGAGAGUCCCGACUUCUCCAUUUUGGCCCUUUUCAUUCAAGUCGCAAAAACAAUUGUUGGAUUCGACUACCGGCAGAGCUUUCAAAUUUGUUUUAGCUUUUUUUUUUUUUUUUUCCUUUUUUUUGGACAAUUCAAGGAGUAGAAAGUCUCAAAAGGAAAAUAGUCACGUAAAGUACAGGUAACUCUACUGAAGUAGAGUUAUCAAAUACAUUUACUCUGUUACCAAGAGCAAAGCAGAAAUUGAAGCUUGUGAGGCUCGGACAUGCAGUACUCUCUGAAGCCAGACAUAUUGGGGCAGCAGGGAGCUCACAAACGAGAGAAAGGAGAAGAAGAAGAAGAAGCAGAUGAGGAAGAAAGCCCACUCAAAUGACGUAGAAUAAAAAGUCGACAGCGCGCAGGUGGUAAUUGGGCUUCGACUUCCGGUCAGGGCAAAACGUAAAUCCUUACAACUGUACACUGUGGAAGAUAAUAACAUCAAAUUUCACCGAUGUCAAUUUGAAAUUCCUGCUCCACGAAGACGAGAGGUGGGCGCGGCCCUUGACAUGUUUGGCAUGGGGAAAAUUAUUAAGAUCUGUACCUCCCAUUACUCAGAGCCUGUUGCCCUUGGCGGAACCAUUGCAGUCUCGUUUUCUACGUCAUUGACCCGAUCGCAGCACCUGCCGACAACAAACCAGCCUGGUUUUGCUUUGCGUUCUUGAGGAGUCACAGAUGGACAAAUUAUGCACAUUUGAGGAGCGCGGUGCUCGGGGUUGUUUUGGAGACGAUGCAUCGUGUGGAUGUGCCGCCGUGUCAUGAAAGCCUGGUCGGCCCCAGCGACCUUCAAGCUAGCGCGGCUACACGCCACGCAGAGGUGAAAGUUCACACGGCGUCCGGUGUCAACACGGCAAAAAGACCCAAAUCCCGACUUCCUCCAUUUGUGAAAAGUGUCAUUUUCAGCAAGGGAGGACGAGGACGAGUCAUUCACAGGAGAAGGCGAGGAAGGAGACGCUGCGCUAAUCGCUAAGCUAGCGUGACACCUUUUCACCAAAUAGCAAAAUAAGCAAAUGGCCGACACCGGACACUUGUCACGUCGCUCUGGCUUGAAUGGCAUUGUCGGACACGGAAACUUGAAAGAGCAAGUUUAAGAAGUAUCUGGAAAAGAAUAUUAAGAAAGAGCAGCACGGGACGCCGUCUGAAUGUAGCACGCACACCAAUGGAAUCGAUAGUUACGUUCAAUAGCAACUUGAUUUGUCCCACACUGAAGAAAUUUGCAUCCUUUCAGCAGCAAAAUUUGAUACUGCCAUUUCUUUUAGUAAUAAUUGGAAUCAUCAUUUCUUUUGUGCUUCACUCCGAUGUAGUUUUGUGCACACAAGGCGAAAUGGGACA